CAGUAGCCGCGGUAAUACGAAGGUCCCGAGCGUUGUUCGGAAUCACUGGGCGUAAAGGGAGCGUAGGCGGCGUGGUAAGUCAGAUGUGAAAUCCCGGGACUCAACCCCGGAACUGCAUCCGAUACUGCCAUGCUAGAGGAUUGGAGAGGUAGCUGGAAUUCUUGGUGUAGCAGUGAAAUGCGUGGAGAUCAAGAGGAACACUCGUGGCGAAAGCGAGCUACUGGACAAUAACUGACGCUGAGGCUCGAAGGCCAGGGUAGCGAAAGGGAUUAGAUACCCGAGUAGUCCCUGUCUCUUAUAA
rnacentral:rRNA from 1 species